rnacentral:pre_miRNA from 1 species
AAUAUGAGAUAAAUCAGAUUUUUCCUCCUGAUUUUUAGUUAUUUCCCCUUGAAAAAAUUCAAAUCCAACUAAAGUACUAAAAAUCAGGAGGAAAAAUUUAAUUUAUCAUUUUUCUAUU